rnacentral:rRNA from 1 species
GACGGAGGGGGCAAGCGUUGUCCGGACUCAUUGGGCGUAAAGGGUGCGUAGGCGGCGCGGUAAGUCGGGUGUGAAAUCUCGGGGCUUAACUCCGAAACUGCAUUCGAUACUGCCGUGCUUGAGGACUGGAGAGGAGACUGGAAUUUACGGUGUAGCGGUGAAAUGCGUAGAUAUCGUAAGGAAGACCAGUGGCGAAGGCGGGUCUCUGGACAGUUCCUGACGCUGAGGCACGAAGGCCGGGGGAGCAAACGGG